GCGCCCGUAGCUCAAUGGAUAGAGCAAUCGGUUUCUACCCGGUCGGUUGGGGGUUCGAGUCCCUCCGGGCGCG
rnacentral:tRNA from 1 species